rnacentral:rRNA from 1 species
GAGUUUGAUCCUGGCUCAGAACGAACGCUGGCGGCAUGCCUAACACAUGCAAGUCGAACGAACCCUUCGGGGUGAGUGGCGCACGGGUGCGUAACGCGUGGGAACCUGCCUUUAGGUUCGGAUUAACUCAGAGAAAUUUGAGCUAAUACCGGAUAAUGUCUUCGGACCAAAGAUUUAUCGCCUUUAGAUGGGCCCGCGUUAGAUUAGAUAGUUGGUGGGGUAAUGGCCUACCAAGUCGACGAUCUAUAGCUGGUCUGAGAGGAUGAUCAGCCACACUGGGACUGAGACACGGCCCAGACUCCUACGGGAGGCAGCAGUGGGGAAUAUUGGACAAUGGGCGAAAGCCUGGUCCAGCAAUGCCGCGUGAGUGAUGAAGGCCUUAGGGUUGUAAAGCUCUUUUACUAGGGAUGAUAAUGACAGUACCUAGAGAAUAAGCUCCGGCUAACUCCGUGCCAGCAGCCGCGGUAAUACGGAGGGAGCUAGCGUUGUUCGGAAUUACUGGGCGUAAAGAGAACGUAGGCGGCUAUCCAAGUCAGGGGUGAAAUCCCGGGGCUCAACCCCGGAACUGCCCUUGAAACUAGGUAGCUAGAAUUCUGGAGAGGUUAGUGGAAUUCCGAGUGUAGAGGUGAAAUUCGUAGAUAUUCG